GACGAACGCUGGCGGCGUGCCUAAUACAUGCAAGUCGAGCGGACUUUCAAGAAGCUUGCUUUUUGAAAGUUAGCGGCGGACGGGUGAGUAACACGUGGGCAACCUGCCUGCAAGGCGGGGAUAACUCCGGGAAACCGGGGCUAAUACCGGAUAAUAUCUUCCUUCGCAUGAAGGAAGGUUGAAAGGCGGCGCAAGCUGCCGCUUGCAGAUGGGCCCGCGGCGCAUUAGCUAGUUGGUGAGGUAACGGCUCACCAAGGCGACGAUGCGUAGCCGACCUGAGAGGGUGAUCGGCCACACUGGGACUGAGACACGGCCCAGACUCCUACGGGAGGCAGCAGUAGGGAAUCUUCCGUAAUGGACGAAAGUCUGACGGAGCAACGCCGCGUGAGCGAAGAAGGUCUUCGGAUCGUAAAGCUCUGUUGUCAGGGAAGAACAAGUACCGUUCGAACAGGGCGGUACCUUGACGGUACCUGACCAGAAAGCCACGGCUAACUACGU
rnacentral:rRNA from 1 species